AUGACUUGCAGCAUCGCGUGUCACAGCACCAGGAUUUGCUGGGUUCGAGGCUCCUAUAACGCAGACUGUACCGACAGGGACAGACCUAACAACUAAAAUAUUUUUAAAAGCUUUUUGCCAGAGAGAGCAAGAAAAAGGUGGAAUGGACGCACCUCCGAUUUACAUGAAGGAAGGUAUUCGACACAUACAGAUGGUGAUUAAUUUAACAGCCUAACAGUACAAUCAGU